rnacentral:rRNA from 1 species
GACGAACGCUGGCGGCGUGCCUAAUACAUGCAAGUAGAACGCAGUUGCGAACGGGUGAGUAACGCGUCGGUAACUGCCUCAUAGCGGGGGAUAACUAUUGGAAACGAUAGCUAAUACCGCAUACUGUGAGAUGGACCUGCGUUGUAUUAGCUAGUUGGUGAGGUAAAGGCUCACUAAGCCGACGAUACAUAGCCGAGCUGAGCGGGUGAUAGGACCCACGGAGACGGAGACACGGCCCAGACGCUUCAGGGAGGCAGCAGUAGGGAAUCUUCGGCAAGGGACGGAAGGCUGACCGAGAAACGCCGCGGGAGUGAAGAAGGUUUUCGGAUCGUAAAGCUCUGUUGUUAGAGAAGCGGUAACGAACCAGAAAGGGACGGCUAGGUACGUGCCAGGCGCCGCGGUAAGUG